AUUGGACGCUGGCGGCAGGCCUAACACAUGCAAGUCGAGCGGAUGAAGGGAGCUUGCUCCUGGAUUCAGCGGCGGACGGGUGAGUAAUGCCUAGGAAUCUGCCUGGUAGUGGGGGAUAACGUCCGGAAACGGGCGCUAAUACCGCAUACGUCCUGAGGGAGAAAGUGGGGGAUCUUCGGACCUCACGCUAUCAGAUGAGCCUAGGUCGGAUUAGCUAGUUGGUGGGGUAAAGGCCUACCAAGGCGACGAUCCGUAACUGGUCUGAGAGGAUGAUCAGUCACACUGGAACUGAGACACGGUCCAGACUCCUACGGGAGGCAGCAGUGGGGAAUAUUGGACAAUGGGCGAAAGCCUGGUCCAGCCAUGCCGCGUGUGUGAAGAAGGUCUUCGGAUUGUAAAGCACUUUAAGUUGGGAGGAAGGGCAGUAAGUUAAUACCUUGCUGUUUUGACGUUACCAACAGAAUAAGCACCGGCUAACUUCGUG
rnacentral:rRNA from 1 species